rnacentral:rRNA from 1 species
AGAGCGAACGCUGGCGGCAGGCCUAACACAUGCAAGUCGAGCGCCCGUAGCAAUACGGGAGCGGCAGACGGGAUAGUAACACGUGGGAACGCGCCCUUCGGUUCGGAAUAACUCAGGGAAACUUGAGCUAAUACCGAAUACGCCCUUACGGGGAAAGAUUUAUUGCCGAAGGAACGGCCCGCGUCCGAUUAGCUAGUUGGUGAGGUAAUGGCUCACCAAGGCUACGAUCGGUAGCUGGUCUGAGAGGAUGACCAGCAUCACUGGGACUGAGACACGGCCCAGACUCCUACGGGAGGCAGCAGUGGGGAAUCUUGCUCAAUGGGCGAAAGCCUGAAGCAGCGACGCCGCGUGCGGGAUGAAGGCCCUCGGGUUGUAAACCGCUUUCAGCAGGGACGAAAUUGACGGUACCUGCAGAAGAAGCCCGGCCAACUACGUGCCAGCAGCCGC